rnacentral:rRNA from 1 species
UUGAUCCUGGCUCAGAAUCAACGCUGGCGGCGUGCCUAACACAUGCAAGUCGAACGCGGUUACUUCUGCUUCGCAAGAAGUAGUUGUAACUGAGUGGCGUACGGGUGAGUAACACGUGGGUGACCUACCUUCGAGCGGGGGAUAACGUCUCGAAAGGGACGCUAAUACCGCAUAACAUCCUGCCUUUGAACAGGUGGAGUUCAAAGCUGGGGAUCGCAAGACCCGGCACUUGGAGAGGGGCCCGCGUCUUAUUAGCUAGUUGGUGAGGUAACGGCUCACCAAGGCGACGAUCAGUAUCCUGCCUGAGAGGGCGGACGGACACACUGGGACUGAGACACGGCCCAGACUCUUACGGGAGGCAGCAGUGGGGAAUUGUUCACAAUGGGCGCAAGCCUGAUGUCGCAACGCCGCGUGGAGGAUGAAGGUCUUCGGAUCGUAAACUCCUGUUGUUCGGGACGAAAAGCUCCGACCUAACACGUCGGAGUCUGACGGUACCGGGUGAGGAAGCCCCGGCUAACUCUGUGCCAGCAGCCGCGGUAAUAAGGU